rnacentral:rRNA from 1 species
ACUCCUACGGGAGGCAGCAGUGGGGAAUAUUGCACAAUGGGCGAAAGCCUGAUGCAGCAACGCCGCGUGAGCGAUGAAGGCCUUCGGGUCGUAAAGCUCUGUCCUCAAGGAAGAUAAUGACGGUACUGAG